ensembl:lncRNA
AGAAUGUUGAUUUAAAUAAAGUUGAUCACAAUAAACAAGUACAAGGUAUUUUGUGUGUCCGGUGCAGCCUUGACCAGUAGAACACAGUGCAGCUAGUAUUCCCGGGUUAACAAGACGCCGUGGUCAGCAUGGUUCAAACGGAUCCUUUAUUUCGCAGCGGAAUAAGUUCAUCCAAUUGUUGUUAUUAUUCCACCCUACUUCUGAAAAUACAUUAACUAGCUGCAAGUCGCGUGUGUGCUAACCAGGCUCGCCCAGCAUGCUGCCGGGGCGGCUGAGCGAGGCAGUGUGACAGCAGGGGGGCAAGAGAAGGAAGUGGAGGGGAGUUGGGUUUCCCGCUGCCUGCUUUUACCCCAUCCCUUACGCUAAAUAUAGCUCCGAUUACAGGCGCGUUCUGGGGCUGGACCCGUCACUGGACCCAGUGGGGGAAUGAUGCUACAGCUCGGAUUAAUCCCAGUGACACGGACACACGCGGCCCUCCGCUGGUAAUGUCACAGGGCCCGGACAGCCAACAGCCCCCCCGAGGCCUCCGCUCCCCCUCACCCGCCUCCAGCGGGAGGUGGCUGGCCUCUGCCAAGGUGAACAGGAGCCCUUUUCUCUUUUUUUUUUAGAAAAGCCAGACAAUAACGUAAUCCCCGCACGCCGCGCAGGGGCCGUAUCUGUGACAACAAGCCGUUUACACAAACGCCUGUAAACGAACCAGCUCGCCGCGACGUGUUGAUUCCACGGAGACGUGCAGCUCCGGGGGGGGGGAAGUUCCGCUCACCGGAUAUCCACAACUCACGGGCCGCCGGGGCGGUUUGCAGGAACAGCGUGAUUACAAGCAGGGGCAAUGCGCCUUAACUGCACACCUUUCACUUUUUGUGACAAAGCCGGGGGGGAGACAAAAGUUUAAAUCCGGUGUUCGGGGUUAGAUGGCAAAUGUCUUCCCGUGUUGAAGAAACGCAGAGGACAAGCCGCUGGCGGCCUGCAUCGUACUUCCAAACUCCGACGGCGCCUUCUGUUUACCAACGCGUAACACGAUCCAAGAGGAAGUCUGAGGUAAUCUCGCCGAAAUAAAAUCACCCCCUCCCAAAAAAAAUCACAAACAACGUCCGAACACCACCGAACCAAAGCUUGAGACACGUCUGAAAAGUAGAGAACCCAGAUCCAGCGAAGUUCCCGAGCUUGCUGUCAGACGCC